AUAUAUAUAAAACAACAAUGUACAUAAGUCUAAACCGAUUUCUAGAUAUCUUCUCUUACAAAGACACAUCGAAGCAGGAAUAAAGGAAGAAGGGAGAGGAAACCACGAAACAUAUAUAUAGUCGAUCUCUGAGAAGAUCAGCUAUCAAUUCCUCACGAGUUUCACGCUGAAUCGGUUGAUUGUAACGUGCAAUUAUGAAACACAGGGUCCUAUAUACGUUUUUAUUUCUGCUAAAUUUGUUUGUAUUUUCAGAAUGCAAUUUUCAAGUCGAACUAGUGCAAGUACUUAUGAGACACGGAGAACGAACACCAUCACUUGACGAAAUAAAAAUGUAUCCCAAUGACCGCUAUAAUGUUUCCACUUAUGAACCGUGGGGACUUGGCCAGUUGACUAAUCAAGGAAAACAUACAGAAUAUCAACUCGGACAAAUAUUAAGGCAACGUUACGACAAGUUAUUAGGGUCGAUUUAUUAUCCGGAAGAUAUAUAUGCUUUUAGUACAAACAUUGACCGUACAAAAACGUCUCUAAAUCUGAUGCUGGCGGGUUUAUAUCCUCCAACUUCAGUGCAAAUGUGGAAUCCGAAUUUAGCGUGGUUUCCUAUUCCUACGCAUUACGCGCCUAUGGAAAGUAAUAAUCUAUUAAAAUAUUUCGUCUGUCCAAAAUAUAAUGCAAUUUUAAAAGAUGUUUUUGGCUCACAAGAAGUUCUUGAUAAAAUUGCAGCUUAUACAGAUUUUUUCAAUUUCUUAAGCAACAAAACUGGAACAAACGUCACAAAUUUGUCAAACGUUAAAGCUAUUUAUCAAUUAUUAACGGCACAGAAAGCCAUGAAUCUAACUAUGCCGGAGUGGUACAAUGACAAAAUAGAUCAGCAAUUGGAAAAUUGUUUUGCAUUAUUAUGCGAUAUUCAAUCGUACACGACUGAAUUAAAACGAUUCAAUGGCGAGCUCAUAAUAUCAGCGGGGUGAGAAUAAAUUACGGAUCAACAAUCAUAUUCGAGACGUUGCGGGAUAAAAGCAGUAAACUUUAUAUCAGGAUUCUUUUGUUGAAUGGUCCUAAAGAACAAAUAGUGACUCUUAAACUGGCCAAAUGUGAUAACAUUUGUCCUUUAGAACUUUAUAAAA